rnacentral:rRNA from 1 species
GAAAGUGGCGCACGGGUGCGUAGCGCGUAUGCAACCUACCUUAAUCAGGGGGAUAGCCUCUCGAAAGAGAGAUUAACACCGCAUAAAAUCACAAGCUGGCAUCAGCAAAUGAUCAAAUAUUUAUAGGAUUAAGAUGGGCAUGCGUGACAUUAGCUAGUUGGUAAGGUAACGGCUUACCAAGGCUACGAUGUCUAGGGGAUCUGAGAGGAUGACCCCCCACACUGGUACUGAGACACGGACCAGACUCCUACGGGAGGCAGCAGUAAGGAAUAUUGGUCAAUGGGGGCAACCCUGAACCAGCCAUGCCGCGUGCAGGAAGACGGCCCUACGGGUUGUAAACUGCUUUUAUACGGGAAUAAACCUCUUUACGUGUAGAGAGUUGAAUGUACUGUAAGAAUAAGGAUCGGCUAACUCCGUGCCAGCAGCCGCGGUAAUACGGAGGAUCCAAGCGUUAUCCGGAUUUAUUGGGUUUAAAGGGUGCGUAGGCG